rnacentral:rRNA from 1 species
CGUGCGGUUCUAUUUUGUUGGUUUCUAGGACCGCCGUAAUGAUUAAUAGGGAUAGUCGGGGGCAUCCGUAUUCAAUUGUCAGAGGUGAAAUUCUUGGAUUUAUUGAAGACGAACUACUGCGAAAGCAUUUGCCAAGGAUGUUUUCAUUAAUCAGUGAACGAAAGUUAGGGGAUCGAAGACGAUCAGAUACCGUCGUAGUCUUAACCAUAAACUAUGCCGACUAGGGAUCGGACGGUGUUAUUAUUUUGACCCGUUCGGCACCUUACGAGAAAUCAAAGUUUUUGGGUUCUGGGGGGAGUAUGGUCGCAAGGCUGAAACUUAAAGAAAUUGACGGAAGGGCACCACCAGGCGUGGAGCCUGCGCCUUAAUUUGACUCAACACGG